ACACGACUACAUUAGACUACCGGGUAGUCCCAGCCCUAAACGAUGCGCGUUAGGUGUAUCGGUGACCACGAGUCACCGAGGUGCCGAAGGGAAACCGUGAAACGUGCCGCCUGGGAAGUACGGUCGCAAGGCUGAAACUUAAAGGAAUUGGCGGGGGAGCACCACAACGGGUGGAGCUUGCGGUUUAAUUGGACUCAACGCCGGGAAGCUCACCGGAUAAGACAGCGGAAUGACUGCCGGGCUGAAGACCCUGCAUGACCAGCUG
rnacentral:rRNA from 1 species